GAGCCGUAGCUGUAUGUGUGAACAAGGCUGAAGUUUUCAUAGAAUUGUUAUUUCUGUUGCAUGUGUCUAUGCAUUAGGCACCAGUCCGCAUUCCUCCAACGUCAGCAUGAAUCUUGUGGCUCCGUCUUCUUCCCCGGCUGCCGCCGACACAGCAGGGUCUGGUACCUCUGUCGGGGAGUAAAGCAGGUGUGCCCAGAUGAGAAGACUGAGGUCUGCGGAGGUUAAUGCACUUGAGCAAGAUCCCAUAGCUGAAGUGUUCACUUCAAUUAGUAGAGUGUGUCAAGGAUCUGAGAUAUGAAGACCUUACCAUUGAUGGAAUCCCCUGGGAAGCCCAAUGCUCAGCUCUUCCAGCAAUCAGCAAGGAAAGAGACAGAGACAGCCAGCGAGAGAUGGAACACAAACAGGGGGAGUGGGAGAGGAAGAAG